UACAGAGGUGGCAAGCGUUGUUCGGAAUUACUGGGCGUAAAGGGCGCGUAGGCGGUCUUGCAAGUCCUGUGUGAAAUCCCUCGGCUCAACUGAGGAACUGCACAGGAAACUGCUUGGCUUGAGUUCGGGAGAGGGAAGCGGAAUUCCGGGUGUAGCGGUGAAAUGCGUAGAUAUCCGGGGGAACACCGGUGGCGAAGGCGGCUUCCUGGACCGACACUGACGCUGAGGCGCGAAAGCUAGGGGAGCAAACGGG
rnacentral:rRNA from 1 species